GACGUCAAGUCAUCAUGGCCCUUACGAGUAGGGCUACACACGUGCUACAAUGGCGCAUACAGAGGGCUGCCAACCAGCGAUGGUGAGCGAAUCCCAAAAAGUGCGUCGUAGUCCGGAUUGGAGUCUGCAACUCGACUCCAUGAAGUCGGAAUCGCUAGUAAUCGUGAAUCAGAAUGUCACGGUGAAUACGUUCCCGGGCCUUGUACACACCGCCCGUCACACCAUGGGAGUGGGCUGCAAAAGAAGUGGGUAGUUUAACCUUUCGAGGAGGACGCUCACCACUUUGUGGUUCAUGACUGGGGUGAAGUCGUAACAAGGUAGCGCUAGGGGAACCUGGCGCUGGAUCACCUCCUUAUACGAUGAU
rnacentral:rRNA from 1 species